rnacentral:lncRNA from 1 species
UUACAAACGUACUCCCAAGGAUAGUCAAAAUCUCCCUGCAAGUAUGCAUCAAAGAAGAGUUGUAAUGUCUGGCGGCGAAGUUCAAGGGGAAAGGUGGAAAUAACUGAGAGGAUUUAUUUCAGGACACAUUUCCACAUUUCUAAAGAAAGUGACAAUAAAACAUCAACAGUUCUUGGAUGUUGAAACAUAGCCAAAAGUGAGACCAUCAGGAGAAGGGCCUAAGAAGAACUAGAUUAACAGGAAGAAGGUGAAAAAGUGAUAAUAAAUCUUUUAAUCCUGCCACCUACACAGGCGAUUCUCCACCUACCAGAGGUGAGAGCAUAUCUUACUAGGUCACUAACAGCAGCAAAGUCUCUGAAGAAGAUGGGACCAUCUAGUUGCAGGAAAACCACCUCAGGGCUCCCACGGACUCUACCUUAUGGUUUUCCAGUUAAUAUGUGGACCAAAAAAGCACAACUGGACCAAUAUAUAAAAUAAACACACUCCUUUACUACAACAAUUCGGGAAACUAAAUUUUCAAUGAUGGAAGGAAUGGUUAUAUGGUUAAAACCAAAUGCUAAUGUUGGAUACUUUUAUUAAUUCAAUAAAUGAAUAUUCAUUUAUUUAUUUACUGA